AAGUCGUAACAAGGUUUCCGUAGGUGAACCUGCGGAAGGAUCAUUACAAAAUAUUUUCCAAACGAGAAAAACCUCCCAGUGGAUGGGGGAGUGUCCGGGCCUAAAAAUCCGAACCUCUCUUUCCCUGGGUUGGGAGAAGGGGGAAGUCUAGGCUUAACAGCUUACGAUUUCCCGUCCACUCCAACCCCAUAUAAACUCCUUGUGCUUUGUUGUUGACCUCUGGGUCUUUCACAUAUUGCACAAUUUGAUACCCUUUGGGUAUUCACCUUUUUGUAUUUUUGAUUAGAAAUGAAAAAAGAAGGGCAAAAACGGCCUGUUUUUGAAUUUUUCAUUCUAACAGUUGUUAUUGCUCUUUUUUAAUAAUCUAAAUAAAACUUUCAACAACGGAUCUCUUGGCUCUC
rnacentral:misc_RNA from 1 species